rnacentral:rRNA from 1 species
AGAGUUUGAUCAUGGCUCAGAACGAACGCUGGCGGCAGGCCUAACACAUGCAAGUCGAACGAUAAGCCACCUUCGGGUGGUGGACAGUGGCAGACGGGUGAGUAACGCGUGGGAACGUGCCUUUCGGUCCGGAAUAACCCAGGGAAACUUGGGCUAAUACCGGAUACGCCCUUCGGGGGAAAGAUUCAUUGCCGAAAGAUCGGCCCGCGUCGGAUUAGCUAGUUGGUGGGGUAAUGGCUCACCAAGGCGACGAUCCGUAGCUGGUCUGAGAGGAUGACCAGCCACACUGGGACUGAGACACGGCCCAGACUCCUACGGGAGGCAGCAGUGGGGAAUAUUGGACAAUGGGCGCAAGCCUGAUCCAGCCAUGCCGCGUGGGUGAAGAAGGCCUUAGGGUUGUAAACCCCUUUCAGCGGGGAAGAUAAUGACGGUACCCGCAGAAGAAGGUCCGGCUAACUUCGUGCCAGCAGCCGCGGUA